rnacentral:snRNA from 1 species
AUCGCUUCUCGGCCUAUCUGGCUAAGAUCAAAAUGUAGCGCCUGUUCUUAUCAGCUUAAUAUCUGAUACGGGUGCUAUGUGCACCCGGGAUGUUAUAGCAAUUUUUGCACGCUGGCACCGUGAAGGGGCUCGCCCCUCCGUUGCCACGGGUUGUCCCGGCAUUGCACUGCCGCCGGGCUCAGCCCCGUUCCC